AUUGAACGCUGGCGGCAGGCUUAACACAUGCAAGUCGAGCGAGCGGCGGACGGGUGAGUAAUGUCUGGGACACUGCCUGAUGGAUGGGGAUAACUACUGGCAACGGUAGCUAAUACCGCAUACCAUCAGAUGUGCCCAGAUGGGAUUAGCUAGUAGGUGGGGUAAUGGCUCACCUAGGCGACGAUCCCUAGCUGGUCUGAGAGGAUGACCAGCAACACUGGAACUGAGACCCGGUCCCGCCUCCCACGGGAGGAGGCAGUGGGGAAUAUUGCACAAUGGGCGCAAUCCUGAUGCAGCCAUGCCGCGUGUGUGAAGAAGGCCUUCGGGUUGUAGAGCACUUUCAGCGGGGAGGCGUUACUCGCAGAAGAAGCACCGGCUAACUCCGUGCCAGCAGCCGCGGUAAUAC
rnacentral:rRNA from 1 species